AGGGAUCAUUACCGAGUUGUAACACUCACCAACCCACUGCAAACGUACCCAUUUUGGCGACUCCGGCAGGCGGCCCCAGGGCGGGGCCUCAGCCUUUUUAGGCGCCUGCCGAAGGUGCCGCAACUUUACUCUGUAAUUAUGUAUUCUGAGUCCUAAGACAAAAUAUCAAAAUUUUCAAUUGUGGAUCUCUUGGUUCUGGCAUCGAUGAAGAACGCAGCGAAAUGCGAUAAGUAAUGUGAAUUGCAGAAUUCAGCGAAUCAUCGAAUCUUUGAACGCACAUUGCGCCCAUUAGUAUUCUAGUGGGCAUGCCUGUUCGAGCGUCAUUUCAACCCUCGGGCCCCUACGGGACCGGCGUUGGGGCCUUUGCCGCAUGGCAAGCCCCGAAAGCAAGUGGCGGGCCCGCUGAGACCCUGAGCGUAGUAAUUUACACCAUCGCUCUGGGGCGCUUAGCGGGUGGCACCAGCCGUUAAAGCACUUCAAGUCUUACAAGGUUGACCUCGGAUCAGGUAGGAAUACCC
rnacentral:rRNA from 1 species